UGUAACAAAAUGCUGGUGGGGAGUGCGGGAACAACCCCAGAUUUACCUGCCUGCAGGACAAGGGCUGCUCUCCGCCAGGAGCGGAUCUGCAGGCGCAUCCCACUAGAGGGCUCUCGGUACCCGCGGAACGGAAUCCCGGCUCCAGCACUGCUCGGUCUUUUACCGAUUCUCCAGGAGAAAUGUUUCUUUUUUGUUGCUGUGUGGAAAUAGUAAGACAAGAAAAUAAAUAUCUUCAAGGAGAUAUCAUCACAGAAGAGGUAUCCUUUCUGAAAAGGUCAGGAGAAACUGUUGUUCCUUAUAAAGCAGCUCUAGCAAGGAAAAAGGGCACUGGACUUAGAUUCACAUACUGUUGGUGCUUGUUAUGGCUUCCCUGGAGCACAGCUGGAACUCUUCCAUUCGUGUUCUCUCCUCCGUGUCUGACAGUCUGAACCUGGUGACUCUACCUGCUGAGCACAGCCCUGCAGGGGUGCAGGAGGCUGCAGGGUAGGGCCUCACCCUACACCUCACCACAAACAACACUCUCUAAACUGCAAAGAACGAUAAAUAAGGGAUUGUUAGAUCAAUGUCUCACAGCAGUCCUUUUAAAAAUUGUUUUGGUAGCAGCAAACCCCAGAACUUUGGUGCAUCCACGUAUUCUGUCACUUCAAAGAGGAAUCAACUGAACUGGUCUUGGAAAAGAGGAGAAAUUGGAACUUGCUGACCAGUCACCUCUUACUGGAUGUGAAGGCAGAACAGUCACAAAGACUGGGCAUUCCUCUUGUUGCUUAGAUCUUCUUCCCACCUCUAAAUGUAUAGAGAAAUACUCUUUGGAUGUGGUUCUUAUAUUUCACAAUAUUCCCCAUGAAAAAACCCCCAAAACCCCAGGGUACUUCUGGGGUGUUAAAUGGGGUAUGUUACAUCAUAAAACAUGUUUGCCACAUUCCUGUGCAGGCUUAAGGGUUCUCUUUGUCUCUGGAAGGCUCUGCCAG